GGGCGAGUGGCGGAAUGGCAGACGCGCUAGGUUCAGGACCUAGUAUCUGAAAAGACGUGGGGGUUCAAAUCCCCCUUCGCCCACCA
rnacentral:tRNA from 1 species